AAAAAAAAAAAAAAAACCUUUAAAUAUAUAGUUUAAUGUCCAGAAAACAAAAUGAACCUAGCUGACUUGGGAUAUAUAUUUCUGUAAUUUUAUUUAUUUAUUCAUUUCUUAAUGAUGUGUUUUUCAAAAGAGAGAGAAGCUUGAUCCUACAACAAGUGAUUAUUGGGAACUCAACAAAGUUCUAAUUGCUGCCCUUUCUAUCCACACUUAUUUUAUUUU
rnacentral:misc_RNA from 1 species